ACCAACUGUUCAACCACCCUUUCUGAAAGCAUAAAUGAAUGAGAGAACAAUUAAGCUUAUGCUAGUGAACAUUUUCACAAUAUUCAUACAAAAGUGAAUGAAAAGUGUAAUCCUGUUUCACUCUAGCACUGUAUAUUUUGGGGAAGACUCAAAGCAUAUAGGCAAAAAGGGACAGGACUGGGAUAAACAAUGUUUGCUUUAUGAUUUUGGAAUGAAGAUACUAACACAUUUGUGGAAACACUGUGGAUUUGAGCAGCAUCUCUUUCAAGUGAAGAAUUGUGUGGGAGACCAGAAUAUGCCACCACCAAAUAUGGAGGAUUAUUGAUCUGAAGGCAAAAAAUGUACUGUUCUUUGUUGAAGAUGCUCUACCAGCCUUCAAAAUAUAGAAUUUCCUUACGAAUAGAUGGAAGACAAAGAUAUUUCAGGAAAGGGGAAGUACCUGAACAAUGAAAAUGAACACAGUCCAGGAGAUGUCUCUUCCCUCGGUGGGCAGCUUAGAGUUGGUGGAGGGGUGCCAUAGGCAACUGUUUUCUCCUUUCUUCAAAAGUGUCUUCAGUUGGAUAUGCUAAAAGAUUCAGAUUCUGGUUGCAUCUGACCUACCAUGGAAAAACUCCCCCAGUUACAGGCAGAGCUGGCUAUUUGCCCUGGGAAAUUCUCAGAAGG